GUUUCUGUAGUGUAGUGGUUAUCAAGUUUGCCAAACACGCGAAAGGUCCCCGGUUCGAAACCGGGCAGAAACU
rnacentral:tRNA from 1 species